CUCUUAAGCUUUCGUUAUAUGGAAAAGAUCUGCUUGUACAUUCUGCCUAACGUCUCUUUUUAUGUUCCACAGAUGAAAGAAAGUGAUACGGGUUUGCAACAAGUCAGCAAGCAAUGCCAGCAUUUUCAUUUCUGGGUGAACUAUCCCUUUAAGAGCACGGCAAACUGAUCCACCUGAUCGGACGGAUGUUAAACAAAUAAAAAAAGUAAAAAUAAAUGUGCCCUGGUCAGUAGGGGGUUCCCAUGUCCUCCGUCCUGACCCCCAUCACUAACCCAUUCACUAACCAGGCAGGGUGACGCUCCAAAUGAAACCCCCCUUCAUCCCACAGAGAGAGGGAACGCUGUGACCCUAUAAAUAGAGAAGAGGAAUGGUGGUGAUCUGUUGAAGGAAGGAGGGGGGCAUGGAAAAAGGAUUAAGAGAGAUAUUUGGCUGAUGGUCGGGUUGUUCUUGCAGCCCGCGGAUCUGACUCAGUGGUGCUGCGCCUUCCCCUGAGGAUGGGAAGUGUUUUCAUCACUGGAGGUAAAGGUGUGAUGACGGAGGAGAGACUGCUUCGUGUUCAGUGCCUGCUUCAUUACCCAACUUCAGUGUUUGAGACGCCAGCCAAGUGCAACAGAAUAAAAGUUGCGAUGAGAGCAAAUGCACAUCAGUGGUUUUCUCCCUCUGUUCUGCC